rnacentral:rRNA from 1 species
UGGGCGAAGCCUGCUCCGCCCCUCCGCGUGAGUGAAGAAGGCCUUCGGGUUGUAAAGCUCUUUCGCAAGGGAAGAAAACUUAGGCGCUAAUAUCGCUUGAGGUUGACGGUACCUUGAUAUGAAGCACCGGCUAACUACGUGCCAGCAGCCGCGGUAAUACGUAGGGUGCGAGCGUUAAUCGGAAUUACUGGGCGUAAAGCGUGCGCAGGCGGUUUUGUAAGUCAGAUGUGAAAUCCCCGAGCUCAACUUGGGAACUGCGUUUGAAACUACAAGACUAGAAUAUGUCAGAGGGGGGUAGAAUUCCACGUGUAGCAGUGGGGGGGGGAGAGAUGUGGAGGAAUACCAAUGGCGAAGGCAGCCCCCUGGGAUAAUAUCGACGCUCAUGCACGAAAG